rnacentral:misc_RNA from 1 species
GUGUGUUUAUUCUUGAUAAAACUUGCAUGAAAUUAAUACAACUCCAUGAUAAUUUUCACAAAUUAUAUGGGGCUCAUUUUGGGGUGUGCUCUCCAAGGGCAGCCUUACGGAAGCUAGCAUACCGAUCAAAGAGUUUGUCUCUUGGAGGCCAACUCUCUUGGAUUGUUGGGAUAUUUGAGAAUUCUUGCAUCCAUGCCACUAAUAAUGGGAAUUUUUGUUGUUCUAUCAAUUUCACACCAAUUAUCUCCUCAACUACAUUGAAGUGGUAAGCAAGCCAACCCAAUGCAAUAUCUACCAGUCCAAUGGUCUCUCCUCCAAAGAAUUU